UUGCCAGCCCGCUCAGCACUUAAAUGAAUUGACGGGGGCCCCGCACAAGCGGUGGAGCAUGUGGUUUAAUUCGAUGAUACGCGAGGAACCUUACCUGGGCUCAAAUGUAUGUUGACGUAUUCUGAAAGGGAUACUUCUUCGGACAAUAUACAAGGUGCUGCAUGGUUGUCAUCAGCUCGUGCCGUGAGGUGUCGGGUUAAGUCCCAUAACGAGCGCAACCCCUAUCAUUAGUUGCCAUCAGGUCAAGCUGGGGACUCUAAUGAAACUGCCUACGCAAGUAGUGAGGAAGGUGGGGAUGACGUCAAAUCAGCACGGCCCUUACGUCCAGGGCUACACACGUGCUACAAUGGUCGGUACAAAGGGUUGCCAAGCCGCGAGGUGGAGCUAAUCCCAUAAAACCGAUCGUAGUCCGGAUCGCAGUCUGCAACUCGACUGCGUGAAGUCGGAAUCGCUAGUAAUCGUGAAUCAGAAUGUCACGGUGAAUACGUUCCCGGGCCUU
rnacentral:rRNA from 1 species